rnacentral:tRNA from 2 species
GGAGAGGUGGCCGAGUGGCUGAAGGCGCACGCCUGGAAAGCGUGUAAACGGGUGACCGUUUCGGGGGUUCGAAUCCCCCUCUCUCCG